rnacentral:rRNA from 1 species
UACGAAGGGGGCUAGCGUUGUUCGGAUUUGCUGGGCGUAAAGCGCACGUAGGCGGAUCGUUAAGUCGGGGGUGAAAUCCUGGAGCUCAACUCCAGAACUGCCUUCGAUACUGGCGAUCUUGAGUCCGGAAGAGGUGAGUGGAACUCCUAGUGUAGAGGUGGAAUUCGUAGAUAUUAGGAAGAACACCAGUGGCGAAGGCGGCUCACUGGUCCGGUACUGACGCUGAGGUGCGAAAGCGUGGGGAGCAAACAGG